rnacentral:rRNA from 1 species
AACGAACGCUGGCGGCAGGCUUAACACAUGCAAGUCGAACGCCCCGCAAGGGGAGUGGCAGACGGGUGAGUAACACGUGGGAACGUGCCCUUCGCUUCGGGAUAGCCUCGGGAAACUGGGAGUAAUACCGAAUACGCCGUAUUGGGAAAGAUUUAUCGGCGAAGGAUCGGCCCGCGUUGGAUUAGCUAGUUGGCGGUGUAAUGGACCACCAAGGCUACGAUCCAUAGCUGGUCUGAGAGGACGACCAGCCACACUGGGACUGAGACACGGCCCAGACUCCUACGGGAGGCAGCAGUGGGGAAUCUUGGACAAUGGGCGAAAGCCUGAUCCAGCAAUGCCGCGUGAGUGAUGAAGGCCUUAGGGUUGUAAAGCUCUUUACCCGGGAUGAUAAUGACAGUACCGGGAGAAUAAGCCCCGGCUAACUCCGUGCCAGCAGCCGCGGUAA